rnacentral:lncRNA from 10 species
GGGUUUUUUGUUUUUUGUUUUUCGUCUAAAACAGCCUACAGAAUCCUGGCCUUGGCUUUCUCACCAGACUUCUGGGAAGGUCAAAUGAGAUAAUAUAUGCAAAAGCACUCUGUCAGUGAAAAGUGCUCUGUUUCUGGUCUAAUAACCCUCCCCAACCCACUCACAGUUCUUCAUUUUCAAAUUCCUUAGUGAGCAGUUGGUUUCGUUGUCUUAAUUUGGGGCAGUAAUGAUUUCUGAGAAGCAGGUGAUUGAUAACGCGCAAAUUCAAAGCCCCUUGGGGGCUGCAUUGUAGCAUGGUGUGGGGAUGGGGAGACAGAGGGCUGGUAGGAUCCCGAAUUCCUAGUUUUUCUCUCCCUCUCCCUUGCUUCUUCAUUUUCUUCCUUCAGGCUUUCUUCCAUUUCUUUCUUCCAUCAAAUAUUUGUGGAGCUGGAACUGGGCUUCACUAUCAUAUUCCAAGGCCCUGUACUGGGAACAGACAAAGAAGCUCCUCCCAGAGACUGGAAGAAUGGUACAAGGUGUGAAAACCAAGGCUUAAAGCAUGCAAGUUAUUUGCCCGAGGUUUUUCAGCCACAAAUGAAGAAGCUGGGUCUGCUCCACACCUGUGAACCAGGCUAUUUCCACCAUAACCUGAACUCAGAUGAGCACCAGCCCAUGGAGAAUAGUCCAGAAGGCUGCCCAUAGCCUUAAAGGACAGUGUGAGCAUUAAUCACAGCCUGUUGCAUUUGAAGACCACCUCCGGAACAAUGUCGUUUUAAAUCUAUGCCCAAGGCUGAACUUGGAUUGGAAAGAUGGGAGAGACAGCAGGCCUGGGUGUAUUCAGGAUUAUUUCCUAAUAACUCACUCUCUCCUCCCUCCUCCCUUUCUUGAAACAGCCUCACAAAAUGAGUGUUAUAUUCUGGAUUAUCAGAAGAGAAAUGUGAGAUGCAGGCAGGUUGAGAAAAUUGCUCCAAGUCACUUCGGGAAUGUGUGCAUGGACAAGGAAGCAGGAAGAUCCCAAGGAAAAAGAAGCAGCAUGAAAAAUGACAAGAAGACUACAACAGAAGUUUCUACGAACUUUGCACACACAGAAGAGGGUUCUUUUAGUUUUAGUCAGGAUAGGAAAAGGACAAAAUAAAAGUGAACAUUUAUUGAGCCAGGCCCUGUCUUCUACUUGUGUUAAUUCGUUUGCUCAGAUCCUCGCAGGAGCUCUGUGAG